rnacentral:rRNA from 1 species
GUCCAUGCCGUAAACGAUGUCUACUAGCCGUUGGGGCCUUUGAGUCUUUAGUGGCGCAGCUAACGCGAUAAGUAGACCGCCUGGGGAGUACGGUCGCAAGGUUGAAACUCAAAGGAAUUGACGGGGACCCGCACAAGCGGUGGAUGAUGUGGUUUAAUUCGAUGCAACGCGAAAAACCUUACCCACCUUUGACAUGUACGGAAUCCUUUAGAGAUAGAGGAGUGCUCGAAAGAGAGCCGUAACACAGGUGCUGCAUGGCUGUCGU